rnacentral:rRNA from 1 species
UAGGGAAUCUUCGGCAAUGGGGGGAACCCUGAUCGAGCAACGCCGCGUGAGUGAAGAAGGUUUUCGGAUCGUAAAGCUCUGUUGUUAAGGAAGAACGAGUGUGAGAAUGGAAAGUUCAUGCUGUGACGGUACUUAACCAGAAAGGGACGGCUAACUACGUGCCAGCAGCCGCGGUAAUACGUAGGUCCCGAGCGUUGUCCGGAUUUAUUGGGCGUAAAGCGAGCGCAGGCGGUUAGAAAAGUCUGAAGUGAAAGGCAGUGGCUCAACCAUUGUAGGCUUUGGAAACUGUUUGACUUGAGUGCAGAAGGGGAGGGUGGAAUUCCAUGUGUAGCGGUGAAAUGCGUAGAUAUAUGGAGGAACACCGGUGGCGAAAGCGGCUCUCUGGUCUGUAACUGACGCUGAGGCUCGAAAGCGUGGGGAGCGAACGGG